rnacentral:rRNA from 1 species
CGGGCAGGUGGUCCGUUAAGUCGUUUGUGAAAACCCGGGGCUCAACCCCGUGGAAUGCAGACGAUACUGGCGGGCUGGAGAUCGGUAGAGGCUAGCGGAAUUCCUGGUGUAGCGGUGGAAUGCGUAGAUAUCAGGAAGAACACCCGUGGCGAAGGCGGCUAGCUGGGCCGAGUCUGACACUCAUCCGCGAAAGCGUGGGGAGCAAACA